AUCCCCGAUCUACAACCCUCAGUCGGCCUGGAUGUGAAUGCGGAGAACCGACGCGGAUAUGUGUGGAUCGACGGAAGCUGCGCGCCAUUCAUUGAUUCCAUUCGGUGUGGGCGGGACAUAACGAAUCUAAAAGCCAAUCACUCUGCGCGCUAUGCCAGCCGCCCCAAAUUACAACACACUGAUUGGCUAUUGCGAGGAAAACAAAGUCAUGGGCGCUGAGCCGUCUGUGGUGCUUGAUUGAGCCUUAAAAAACACUUUCUCGGGAACUGUGACGUUAACGUUGAGACUAAGUUGUUAAUACGGGGACCAGUGCUUUCUUCAGACACUUUAAAAACUAUUUUAAAAAUUAUUUUAUAUAUAUAAAUAUAUAAAUAAUUUUUUAUUAAAAAAAAAGAUUGUGUCGAAGGAAACGCUUGUUAACACCUACUUCCAGGUAACAGUUUCCAUGGCAACAUGCUUACAGUCAACAUGGAGUUUCUACAGUGGGACUGUCAUGAUGUUGCGAGAUGGAUUGAGUCUUUAGGAUUCCCGCAAUACAAAGCAUGUUUCACGGAGAACCUCAUAACUGGAAGAAAGCUUAUUUACGUAAAUUGCAUGUACUUGCCAAGACUGGGGGUCACAGAUAUUAAACACAUGCAGGUAUUAAGUAGAGCCAGGAGUUCUAGUUGUUGACUGUUUUAAUGCAGCCUCUGAGAUCACUCCCUCACUGAAACAGCCUCUCCCUUUAAGCCAGUUUUCCUCUGAUUUGAUUGACUGCCCCUCAUAAAUGGCUCGAGCAGCAGGUCAUCUCUGCAUGUGUGCGUGACCUGCUGGGGAUCAGAGAGACCCUGUGGAGUCGCAGCAUCGCUGACCCUCCACGGGACACCGUGGGCCUGUUCUUGGAGAAAAAGAGCCGUACGGGCGAGCGGGCGGACAGCCUCUCCUACCAGCAGUUCCUGAGGGACAUGCAUCAGUGAA